rnacentral:rRNA from 1 species
GUCCAUGCCGUAAACGAUGAACACUAGGUUUUGGGCCCGUCAACGGUCCGGAGCCGCAGCUAACGCGUUAAGUGUUCCGCCUGGGGAGUACGCUCGCAAGGGUGAAACUCAAAGGAAUUGACGGGGCCCGCACAAGCGGUGGAGCAUGUGGUUUAAUUCGACGCAACGCGCAGAACCUUACCAGGGUUUGACAUGGGAAAGACAGGACGAGAGAUCGUCCCUCUCCAGCAAUGGAGCUUUCCACACAGGUGCUGCAUGGCUGUCGU